rnacentral:rRNA from 1 species
GCAAGUCGAACGGUGAUGGAUGGAGCUUGCUCUGUUCUGAUCAGUGGCGAACGGGUGAGUAACACGUGAGUAACCUGCCCCAGACUCUGGAAUAACCUCGGGAAACCGUGGCUAAUACCGGAUAUGAAACGAAGCCGCAUGGUUGUCGUUUGGAAAGUUUUUCGGUCUGGGAUGGACUCGCGGCCUAUCAGCUUGUUGGUGAGGUAAUGGCUCACCAAGGCGACGACGGGUAGCCGGCCUGAGAGGGCGACCGGCCACACUGGGACUGAGACACGGCCCAGACUCCUACGGGAGGCAGCAGUGGGGAAUAUUGCACAAUGGGCGAAAGCCUGAUGCAGCGACGCCGCGUGAGGGAUGACGGCCUUCGGGUUGUAAACCUCUUUCAGCAGGGAAGAAGCGAAAGUGACGGUACCUGCAGAAGAAGCACCGGCUAACUACGUGCCAGCAGCCGCGGUAAUACGUAGGGUGCGAGCGUUGUCCGGAAUUAUUGGGCGUAAAGAGCUUGUAGGCGGUUUGUCGCGUCUGCCGUGAAAAUUCGAGGCUCAACCUCGAACUUGCGGUGGGUACGGGCAGACUAGAGUGUGGUAGGGGAGACUGGAAUUCCUGGUGUAGCGGUGAAAUGCGCAGAUAUCAGGAGGAACACCGAUGGCGAAGGCAGGUCUCUGGGCCACUACUGACGCUGAGAAGCGAAAGCAUGGGGAGCGAACAGGAUUAGAUACCCUGGUAGUCCAUGCCGUAAACGUUGGGAACUAGGUGUGGGUCUCAUUCCACGAGAUCCGUGCCGCAGCUAACGCAUUAAGUUCCCCGCCUGGGGAGUACGGCCGCAAGG